UGCUGGGUGGAUUAGUGGCGAACGGGUGAGUAACACGUGAGUAACCUGCCCUUAACUCUGGGAUAAGCCUGGGAAACUGGGUCUAAUACCGGAUAGGAGCGCCUACCGCAUGGUGGGUGUUGGAAAGAUUUAUCGGUUUUGGAUGGACUCGCGGCCUAUCAGCUUGUUGGUGAGGUAAUGGCUCACCAAGGCGACGACGGGUAGCCGGCCUGAGAGGGUGACCGGCCACACUGGGACUGAGACACGGCCCAGACUCCUACGGGAGGCAGCAGUGGGGAAUAUUGCACAAUGGGCGCAAGCCUGAUGCAGCGACGCCGCGUGAGGGAUGACGGCCUUCGGGUUGUAAACCUCUUUCAGUAGGGAAGAAGCGAAAGUGACGGUACCUGCAGAAGAAGCACCGGCUAACUACGUGCCAGCAGCCGCGGUAAUACGUAGGGUGCGAGCGUUAUCCGGAAAUUAUUGGGCGUAAAGAGCUCGUAGGCGGUUUGUCGCGUCUGUCGUGAAAGUCCGGGGCUUAACCCCGGAUCUGCGGUGGGUACGGGCAGACUAGAGUGCAGUAGGGGAGACUGGAAUUCCUGGUGUAGCGGUGGAAUGCGCAGAUAUCAGGAGGAACACCGAUGGCGAAGGCAGGUCUCUGGGCUGUAACUGACGCUGAGGAGCGAAAGCAUGGGGAGCGAACAGGAUUAGAUACCCUGGUAGUCCAUGCCGUAAACGUUGGGCACUAGGUGUGGGGACCAUUCCACGGUUUCCGCGCCGCAGCUAACGCAUUAAGUGCCCCGCCUGGGGAGUACGGCCGCAAGGCUAAAACUCAAAGGAAUUGACGGGGGCCCGCACAAGCGGCGGAGCAUGCGGAUUAAUUCGAUGCAACGCGAAGAACCUUACCAAGGCUUGACAUGUUCUCGAUCGCCGUAGAGAUACGGUUUCCCCUUUGGGGCGGGUUCACAGGUUGGUGCAUGGUUUGUCGUCAGCUCGUGUCGUGAGAUGUUGGGUUAAGUCCCGGCAACGAGCGGCAAACCCUUCGUUUCCAUGUUGCCAGCACGUAAUGGUGGGGACUCAUGGGAGACUGCCGGGGUCAACUCGGAGGAAGGUGAGGACGACGUCAAAUCAUCAUGCCCCUUAUGUCUUGGGCUUCACGCAUGCUACAAUGGCCGGUACAAUGGGUUGCGAUACUGUGAGGUGGAGCUAAUCCCAAAAAGCCGGUCUCAGUUCGGAUUGGGGUCUGCAACUCGACCCCAUGAAGUCGGAGUCGCUAGUAAUCGCAGAUCAGCAACGCUGCGGUGAAUACGUUCCCGGGCCUUGUACACACCGCCCGUCAAGUCACGAAAGUCGGUAACACCCGAAGCCGGUGG
rnacentral:rRNA from 1 species